rnacentral:tRNA from 1 species
GGAGGUGUCGCAUAGUGGUCAAUUGCACACGCUUGGAAAGCGUGAGCUUCACGGCUCCGUGGGUUCGAAUCCCACCACCUCCG